GCCCGGCGUGGCGGGGAGGAGCUCGCGGCCGAGGGAGGGGUCUGGAGCGGGACUGGGAUCAAGGGAAUCGGACCGGGAGCGGAGGGACCUGAACGAGGUGGGGGCGUGCGCCCUGUACACCCAUCGCUUCGUCUGCAACCAGUAACUUUUGGGGUUCCAGGGCCCCUCGGAGUCACCUGGAGCUACUGUGGGGCCCCAGGACGGAUGGAGCGAUGAAGAGGAGGGCAUGGCUGGAGUCUGGCUUGGUUCGGGACCAAUCUGAAGCCAAAGCUCCGGACCUUGCGGUUGUGAGGCAGGCGUCGGAACCACUACAGAGGGGAUCUUGAAGCUGGUGUCCUAACCCCAAAGGGUAAGUUGGAGGCAGGUGCACACUUACAGCAACCACAGCACCAGGCUGCCUCACCUUCCCCUCCUUCCUCAUCAGCUUCUCCUCCAACCUUGGGAAACUCACAAGGAUCCUCAGUAGUCCUGUCCCCAGGGUCCUUCCUGCACCUCCUUCCCCUAGGGCC